rnacentral:rRNA from 1 species
AGUAACGCGUGGAUAACCUGCCGUAUGCAGGGGGAUACCAACUGGAAACAGUUGCUAAUACCGCAUAAGCGCACAGCACCGCAUGGUGCAGUGUGAAAAGAUUUAUCGGCAUACGAUAGAUCCGCGUCCGAUUAGCCAGUUGGCGGGGUAGAAGCCCACCAAAGCGACGAUCGGUAGCCGGCCUGAGAGGGCGGACGGCCACAUUGGGACUGAGACACGGCCCAAACUCCUACGGAAGGCAGCAG